GAUCGCGUAGCUCAGUCGGUAGAGCAACGGACUUUUAAUCCGGUGGUCCUGGGUUCGAGUCCCAGCGCGAUCA
rnacentral:tRNA from 1 species